rnacentral:lncRNA from 1 species
AUGUUGUACUGAGUGCUGAGGAGGGGGCACUGGGUGGCUUCCCUGGGCUAGCUGGUUGCUGAGCAGCACAGGCCCUUGCAUUUUCUGGGCUGUUCCCGUGUUUCAUCCCUCCCCUUCCCGGACAGUAUUUGAACAAGACAUAUUUUACUAAAGGACUCGUGGGUUGCUGGGUCCCACGACAUCACCUCAUAGAUGCAGUCGGUGGUUUGUUCCAGAUUCAGGCUUGUUUCCAGGAAGAAACCCUGACAGAAAUUCAGAAGAACGGGAGCUGCAUUCAGUUAGGAUGUGGAUAUAUGAAAUGCUUGUCUCAGGACCUUCUAGAAGAAUGAGCUGGGACCCACGUUCCGAGUCCUGCUGGCACCAGAGACCGAGGAAGCUGAAAAUGACACUGAGAACUGGCGGCAAAGAAGAAUCAGCUGGCAGCUGCAAGUAAGAUUUGAAAAUAGCCACAGAAGGGGUGCCUGGGUGGCUCAGUCAUUUAAGCGUCCCAACUUCAGCUCAGGUCAUAAUUUCACAGUCCAUGAGUUUGAACCCCGCAUCAGGCUCUGUGCUGACAGGUCAGAGCCUGGAGCCUGCUUCGGAUUCUGUUACCUCUCUCUCUGUCCCUCCCCCGCUCAUGCGUGUGCUCACUCUGUCUCAAAAAUAAAUAAACAUUAAAAAAAAAAAGAAAAUAGCUACAGAAAAAAUAAGUACAAGUGAGUUCAGCUACUAAUUACCAGCAGCUCAUGAAACCUCUGUUCAUUUUUUUGUUUUUAAUCUUUUUGCAAUGUUUAAAGUCAACAUAUGCAUAGAGUAUUAACAGAUAAAAAAGGUAAGUUUUAGAAAGAACAAAACAAUUAAUUUUCUAAACAUUUGUGGAUCUCAAGUAAUGGCCAGACUCUGUGGAAACUUUGUCUAUGCCAACAUUCCUCGGGGGUGGUGUCAAUUGUCAUAAUCUAUAGGAGAGUAGUGUGUCGUAUGAUGAAUCAUACCCAUCAACACGGUAGUGCCAUUUCAUGGUCCUCAUCUUUGCAACCCUGGGAAACAUGGUGAGGAUAUAAGUUAAAGAAGAAUAGAGCUUUAUGAUAAAAGACAUUUGUCACAUGAUGAGUUAGGGAAAGAUUGAAAAUGGGAAGGAAUUCUAUGAACUCUGAACCCUAUGGGCAUGGAAUAAUGAGUAAGGAAAGGAUGUAACAAUAGCUUUGAUCCUACUGUACAUUUAUAAUCAUGUGAAAAGUGUUUCAUGUGUAAGAAUAAAUUGUGUCAGGGGACAGAUAUGAGGUUGAUG